rnacentral:rRNA from 1 species
UGCCAGCCGCCGCGGUAAUACGGAGGGGGCUAGCGUUGUUCGGAAUUACUGGGCGUAAAGGGCGUGUAGGCGGCUGUCCAAGUCGGGUGUGAAAGCCCUCGGCUCAACCGAGGAAUUGCACCCGAAACUGGUCGGCUAGAGUCCGGGAGGGGGUAGCGGAAUUCCCAGUGUAGCGGUGAAAUGCGUAGAUAUUGGGAAGAACACCGGUGGCGAAGGCGGCUACCUGGACCGGAACUGACGCUGAGGCGCGAAAGCUAGGGGAGCGAAUGGGAUUAGAUA